rnacentral:rRNA from 1 species
ACAUGCAGAGAACUUUACCAGAGAUGGAUUGGUGCCUUCGGGAACUCUGACACAGGUGCUGCAUGGCUGUCGUCAGCUCGUGUCGUGAGAUGUUGGGUUAAGUCCCGUAACGAGCGCAACCCUUGUCCUUAGUUACCAGCACGUUAUGGUGGGCACUCUAAGGAGACUGCCGGUGACAAACCGGAGGAAGGUGGGGAUGACGCCAAGUCAUCAUGGCCCUUACGGCCUGGGCUACACACGUGCUACAAUGGUCGGUACAAAGGGUUGCCAAGCCGCGAGGUGGAGCUAAUCCCAUAAAACCGAUCGUAGUCCGGAUCGCAGUCUGCAACUCGACUGCGUGAAGUCGGAAUCGCUAGUAAUCGUGAAUCAGAAUGUCACGGUGAAUACGUUCCCGGGCCUU